UCGUCAGAAUUGUAGUCUGGAGAGGUGCUAUCGGAGAUGUUCGGGGCGAAAAUCCCUUGGAACGGGGUAUCGGAGAAGGUGAGAAUCCUGUGCUGCUCCGGAACAUCUUUGUACGAUGCGCUUUCGUAGAGUCGGUCUCCUUGGGAGUGGAGUCUGAAGCGGGUGGUAAAUUCCAUCUAAAGCUAAAUAUUGGCCAGAGACCGAUAGCGAACAAGUACCGUGAGGGAAAGAUGCAAAGAACUUUGAAAAGAGAGUUAAAGAGUGCUUGAAAUUGGCAGGAGGAAACCCGGUUGCGCGUGGAAUGUGCGGUUCUGAUUCAGCUGUCUGAGAGUCAUGUAGGCGAUCGAAAGAUGCCGUUGGCGAAUUGGGCGGUGCACUUUGGAGCCGUGGGUCAGUUGGCGUUUGGCGAGGGCAAGAUGGCAUCGCGUAGGACUUUGGUGCAGCGCGGUGUGAUGGUUCUCGUUGGGCAUUGGCUGAUUUUACGGGCGCAACUGACCCGUCUAGAAACACGGACCAAGGAGUCUGAUGUGUGUGCGAGUACGAAGGUGGCAAGCCUGAGUGCGCAAUGAAAGUGAAGGGUAUAUCCGUAUCAACCGACCUUGGUCUUCUGUGAAGGGUUUGAGUCGAGCGCAUAUGUCGGGACCCGAAAGAUGGUGAACUAUGCCUGAGGAGGGUGAAGCCAGAGGAAACUCUGGUGGAGGCUCGUAGCGAUACUGACGUGCAAAUCGUUCGUCGAACUUGGGUAUAGGGGCGAAAGACUAAUCGAACCAUCUAGUAGCUGGUUCCCUCCGAAGUUUCCCUCAGGAUAGCUUGAACGCCGACGGUUUUGU
rnacentral:rRNA from 1 species